AUUGAACGCUGGCGGCAUGCCUUACACAUGCAAGUCGAACGGCAGCACGGGUGCUUGCACCUGGUGGCGAGUGGCGAACGGGUGAGUAAUACAUCGGAACAUGUCCUGUAGUGGGGGAUAGCCCGGCGAAAGCCGGAUUAAUACCGCAUACGAUCUACGGAUGAAAGCGGGGGACCUUCGGGCCUCGCGCUAUCGGGUUGGCCGAUGGCUGAUUAGCUAGUUGGUGGGGUAAAGGCCUACCAAGGCGACGAUCAGUAGCUGGUCUGAGAGGACGACCAGCCACACUGGGACUGAGACACGGCCCAGACUCCUACGGGAGGCAGCAGUGGGGAAUUUUGGACAAUGGGCGAAAGCCUGAUCCAGCAAUGCCACGUGUGUGAAGAAGGCCUUCGGGUUGUAAAGCACUUUUGUCCGGAAAGAAAUACUUGGCCCUAAUACGGUCGGGGGAUGACGGUACCGGAAGAAUAAGCACCGGCUAACUACGUG
rnacentral:rRNA from 1 species